CGGCCUAACCGCAAGGAAGGAGGCNCCUAAGGUGAGAUCGAUGACUGGGGCG
rnacentral:rRNA from 1 species